AUCGAUCUCCCUUGGAUCUUGGUCUUUUGAAGUUAUUAUUCCUUUUUCUCCAGAGUUGUUUUACUCUUCUGGUUAAAAGGGAUAAUUCUUCCUCAUCGUCAGAGUCUUCUUUUUCAGAGUCAUCAAUGUCUUCUUCCUCAGCCUGAAAGGCUUUGUUUCUAUCAAACUUGCGUCUUUCUGAUAUGGACUUUAGUGCUACAAACUUGAUCUUC
rnacentral:lncRNA from 1 species